AUUGAACGCUGGCGGCAUGCUUUACACAUGCAAGUCGAACGGCAGCGCGGGCUUCGGCCUGGCGGCGAGUGGCGAACGGGUGAGUAAUGCAUCGGAACGUGCCCAGUAGUGGGGGAUAGCCCGGCGAAAGCCGGAUUAAUACCGCAUACGACCUGAGGGUGAAAGCGGGGGACCGAAAGGCCUCGCGCUAUUGGAGCGGCCGAUGUCGGUUUAGCUAGUUGGUGGGGUAAAGGCUUACCAAGGCGACGAUCCGUAGCUGGUCUGAGAGGACGACCAGCCACACUGGGACUGAGACACGGCCCAGACUCCUACGGGAGGCAGCAGUGGGGAAUUUGGGACAAUGGGGGCAACCCUGAUCCAGCCAUGCCGCGUGCGGGAAGAAGGCCUUCGGGUUGUAAACCGCUUUUGUUCGGGAAGAAAUCCUCUGGGCUAAUACCCCGGGGGGAUGACGGUACCGGAAGAAUAAGCACCGGCGAACUACGU
rnacentral:rRNA from 1 species